CCCUUUGUAGCUCAGUUGGAAGAGCGAAGGACUGUAAUUAAGAAAAGAUAUCCUUAGGUCCCUGGUUCGAUCCCAGGCGAAGGGA
rnacentral:tRNA from 1 species